rnacentral:misc_RNA from 1 species
CAUCAAGAGUAGCAUCAUAAUCUUACUCAUUUUCAAAAUCAAUAUGUUCAUCAUUUUCCUCAUCUUUAAGAGUUAAAGUAGUAUUAUUUCGUACUUAAGUUAGUGCAUUAUGUUUUCCCUUUUUUUUUUGGCAUAAAUCUUGAAAUAGGUGUGGAUGUAAUUUUUUUUUUUGAAAAAGAUAAUAAAAGGGUGGUAGUGUUAAAAAUGGAAAUAUAGGAGGUUUGUGAUCUUGGGUGUGGUGGUUUGAUGAGGUUUUGGCAACUAGUUAUCACAAGCGAUACUAAUUUCAUAAACUUUCUAGUGCGUCAAUAUUGGAUUACAGUAGAUCGACAAAUUUCAAGUUGAGUGUUAAUUGUUUUUGUCAAUGAAAGUGCUUGCUGAAGGUGGAAAUAAAGAAUGUGCGCCUUUAUAAAGGCGCAUGCCUAGGCGCAUAAGGCGAGGGCC